GGGGCUGUAGUUUAGUUGGUUAGAAUGCCGCCCUGUCACGGCGGAGGUCGCGGGUUCGAGUCCCGUCAGCCUCG
rnacentral:tRNA from 1 species